AGAAUUAGAGGACGGAACGGGCAGCCGUCGCCCUAAGCUCGGAGAUGUGGGAGUGUCGCCCCACCUAAGGCA
rnacentral:ncRNA from 12 species